AAGAAGAAACAAACGCUAGUUGCUGCGUUUCUGUUUCCAGCGAAGGACCACGAAAGAGAAGAAAGAACGGAAUGGUGAGGGAGAAGAAGGAGAAAGAGACUUAUUCGAAGGUUUCGCUUCCAGGUUCGAGAGAAUACAGGGACAUUGGUAAGGACUUCUUUAUCUAGUGCUUUCGAGUUGAUAAUUUCCGGAUAGGCCCGAAAACAAAGGAAACUUUGCCCGAUUUUCUGUAGAUUUCUAGUUAAGGCUUGCUUUGGAAUUCUUCCCCUUAGCGCCGCUCACGAUUCUAAAUUGGGUCGUGA